rnacentral:tRNA from 1 species
GCACUGGUUGUUCAGUGGUAGAGUUCUCACUUUCCACGUGGAAGACCUGGGUUUGAUUCCCGGGCAAUGCA